CAGUCGCCGCGGGAAUACGGAGGGAGCUAGCGUUGUUCGGAAUUACUGGGCGUAAAGCGCGCGUAGGCGGUUACUCAAGUCAGAGGUGAAAGCCCGGGGCUCAACCCCGGAACUGCCUUUGAAACUAGGUGACUAGAAUCUUGGAGAGGUCAGUGGAAUUCCGAGUGUAGAGGUGAAAUUCGUAGAUAUUCGCAAGAACACCAGUGGCGAAGGCGGCUCACUGGCCCGGUACUGACGCUGAGGUGCGAAAGCGUGGGGAGCAAACAGGAUUAGAUACCCCAGUAGUCCCUGUCUCUUAUAC
rnacentral:rRNA from 1 species